rnacentral:SRP_RNA from 1 species
AUUUUUGCAGGUAAAAGUGCAUCUUCUCAAUAACACAGUUGAGCCUCUGGCUGUUGGUUGUUGGCGCUAGGUCUUACUGAUGUAGUUGUCGUCGUCGUACAAUAUGGUGACCUGUGGGAAGCUGUAGGUUACCAGGUUGUCUAAGGAGGGGCGAACCGGCCCAGGUCAGAAAUGGAGCAGGCCAAAACUCCUGUGAUGAGGAGUAGUGGGAUUGCACCUGUGAGUGGCCCCUGCAGCACAGUCUGGGCAAGAAAGUAAGA